AUUCCAACCGGUUGAGCAAGCUGGCGCAAGCGCGCUUCUUGCCUCCCUACAGCCGAGGGCUUCGGCGAUCCCAGCACGGUCUCAUGUACUCCUGCCAGAGGUAGUGCGCAUAUGACCUUUGCUCGCUCACGUACGCUCUGGAGCGGGGCACAGGGCAGCUCAUGGCGGGUGCGGGCAGCGAUCUAUCAGUCGGAGACCUCCGGUUCGACGGCUGGGAACCACUCGUCUUGAGACCCGCGAGCGUAAAAUGGCGUUUGACAAGAGAGCACACGCUUUGUAGUGGAUUGAACCAGAGGACAGCCUGGCACGCAGAGCAGCUCGACACCUGUCUCAACUGCGUACGGCUUGACCGCGUGUGAUUGAUGGCGACCGACGUUAUCGAAGCGCUGAAUAGAAGGAUAUGCGAAGGAGAAGCCAGUGAGCGUGCGUCGACGGAGGACGCGGUGUUGAGCGGUGCUGUACUUUUGGGAACGUGUAGGCGACCGCUGGAUAACAUCGUCGCUCGAGAAGGUGUUGUCGGAAUGCUCGCGUGGCUCUUCUUUACGAACAGCUGUGUGCGCCUCCCUGAGUAGCCCUAGUCAGGUCUGCUAGUUCUCUAGAAUAAGGUCGCAUCGAGCGAGACGAAGACGCAUCCCUGCAGAAGUAAGCUUUCGCGCCUCACUGCGACGUCGAUAGAGCAGCGUUCAGCGCGGGACACUGGAGUCUAAGAGCGUGCUUUGCGCUUUGUCUACCCGCAUCUCCUGCUCUCCGCUCGUGUGACGGGGUAGGGGAUCUGCGCGCACUGGUGCCUCUCUGAGUGUACGAUUCAGGAAACGUAUGGAGUGGCUUUGAUUCCCGUGGAGAGAAUCUGCUAGGCAGAGAAUGCUAUGUUCUCUUUUGGAUGUGCGCUGCUCAGGAUGAAGGCAUCGACACAGGUGGUUCAUCGACCAGGUUAACGCGGAUGUACUGACUCGUAGAUUUCAAGGGGUUAUUGUCUGGCUCGCUUCAGCGUAGGGAAAAGCGCCUUCUCGACCUUCCCGCAGUCUACAGGAAACCUUCAUAUUGCAGAUUACCUACGAUAAACAACGGACAAAAGUAGAAAGUUAGAGUAGGUAGAGGCUUUCCAACACUUUCUCCAUCGAGGUAACUGCGCGCUUAAAUUUUUGACAAGACAUUACCACUGACCACGGAUCCCAUACAGCGGGAUGGAUGUUGGCUUUCAAGAAAGUGUCCAUAAUGGUGUUCCGCAUCUUCAAGUAUCAUGACCCAGAAUUCGUCUAGGAUGCACAGAUUGUUUUGAACAUUCGAUUGUGUACAGAGCCUGUCGUAAUCGCCCGCCGCAGCGGAUGCAGCAUGGAGACAGUACGGCUCUGCUAUACCACUGAGGGCGUCCGCUCGACGCACGGUUCGCUAGUCACAGGAUCGGGAUUUAUCAUUAUUGUGAGAGCCUGGAAUCUGUGCAUACGCACUUUCUGCAUGCAGCAGCACGAGGCGAUAUGCUAAGAGACCACCGCGAUCAGGGCGACGCCCGGACACUGCUUUAGCACCCCUAGUCCCGGAAUAAAGUGCGUUGCGGAGUUGCUGUUCAGGUCUCGCAACUGCAGCCAACACUGCAGAGGUGCACCGAGCACGAACCUGGCAGACUCGUCCUUCUCGCGGGACCUUCCGCCGAGAAGGAACAGUUUUGAAAAUGCGGAAGUCUCUACCACCUUUUACAGCCUACCAUAGAAUACGAAAGCAGUUGUUAUCUAGUUGCUAGAUAGUGGCUAGUUUCUGUUCUUUUAGCGCAGUUGCAACUUGUAAGUGGAUAGUUUCUUUCAGCGAGC
rnacentral:misc_RNA from 1 species